rnacentral:rRNA from 1 species
CCUACGGGAGGCAGCAGUGGGGAAUACUUGGCAAUGGGCGCAAGCCUGACCCAGCAACGCCGCGUGAAGGAAGAAGGCUUUCGGGUUGUAAACUUCUUUUGUCAGGGAAGAGUAGAAGACGGUACCUGACGAAUAAGCCACGGCUAACUACGUGCCAGCAGCCGCGGUAAUACGUAGGUGGCAAGCGAUGUCCGGAUUUACUGGGUGUAAAGGGCGUGUAGCCGGGUUGACAAGUCAGAUGUGAAAUCCUGCGGCUUAACCGGAGAACUGCAUUUGAAACUGUUGAUCUUGAGUACUGGAGGGGCAGACGGAAUUCCUGGUGUAGCGGUGAAAUGCGUAGAUAUUAGGAGGAACACCAGUGGCGAAGGCGGUCUGCUGGACAGCAACUGACGGUGAGGCGCGAAAGCGUGGGGAGCAAACAGGAUUAGAUACCCUUGUAGUC